UACAGAGACUGCAAGCGGUAUUCGGAAUCACUGGGCUUACAGGGUGCGUAGGCGGUCUGUUAAGUAGGGUGUGAAAGCCCCCGGCUCAACCGGGGAAUUGCGCCCUAAACUGGCGGACUGGAGUGAGAUAGGGGUGUGCGGAACUUCCGGUGGAGCGGUGAAAUGUGUUGAUAUCGGAAGGAACGCCGGUGGCGAAAGCGGCACACUGGAUCUCAACUGACGCUGAGGCACGAAA
rnacentral:rRNA from 1 species